GUAUCUUCUGAGGGUACAAAUUAUUUUACACCCAUGCAACAACCAGAGGGAGGGCUGGAACAAAUACAUAAAAAGACUUUUUGUAAAAGCUCUGUUGGCCUUGACAAGCUGGAAAAGCUUUGCAUAUCAGCUCAUAAACAGACUAUAUAUCUCUGUAUGGAUACCAAAAAGCAUAACUAACAGCAAUAAGAAAGACACGUGACCAGGUUUGAAACAACUGAAUCACUUCAUCCUGAUGGACCAACGUAACUACAAAUUAUGGAACUCAGCAUCUCAGGAACUCAGAAGGGAACUCAUGGAUUUCAGAAAAUAAAAGGCCAUGGGAAAAGGCUUGAUGACUACCA
rnacentral:lncRNA from 1 species